GGCGAACGCUGGCGGCGUGCCUAAUACAUGCAAGUCGAACGAAAGCGUCCGGUGCUUGCUCUGGUCAAUCUAGCGGCGAACGGGUGAGUAACACGUGGAUAACCUGCCUAUCAGAGGGGGAUAACAUCCGGAAACGGAUGCUAAAACCGCAUAGGUUUUCGAACCGCAUGGUUUGAUGAGGAAAAGCGGCGCAAGCUUCUGCUGAAGGUUGGUCCCCGGGGGCAUUAGCUAGUUGGUGAGGUAACGGCUCACCAAGGCAAUGAUGGAUAGCCGACCUGAGAGGGUGAUCGGCCACAUUGGAACUGAGACACGGCCCAAACUCCUACGGGAGGCAGCAGUAGGGAAUCUUCCGCAAUGGGCGAAAGUCUGACGGAGCAACGCCGCGUGAGUGAAGAAGGUUUUCGGAUCGUAAAACUCUGUUGUUAGGGAAGAACAAGUGCUAGAGUAACUGUUAGCGUCUUGACGGUAUCUAACCAGAAAGCCACGGCUAACUACGUG
rnacentral:rRNA from 1 species